rnacentral:lncRNA from 1 species
UCAGUUGCAGGUGGGUAGGUAGCAUCCUUAUCUAUUUCAUAUGUUCGACUCCACUUUCAUUUUCCUAUGGUGUUUAGGCUCAGGGCUUUCCACCAUUUCAUCUAGAAAUGCAUCAUGCUUUGUAUCAAACUCAAGUAUAUAUAUGGUGUUGUUGGGGCUUCUUUGAUCAAAAUGUGAAAGAUUGCAGACGUGAUUUUGUUUAGACCAUUUGUCCGGGUAGUGACAUUUUGAUAUGCAAGGCAUGUGUUUAUUUGAUUUUAUUUCUUGCAUACACUAAAGUAACCAUGAUAAUCAGUAGCAGGAAGACAGUCAAAACAUUAUUUUCUUUGUCUUGGUAUUCCUGAUUUAGUUGUCAUUUUGUAUGUUUCAUGGAAAAUAUUCAAUUCCAUGUCAUCUUUCCAUUGCUAUUUUCCCUACCACACCUACACAUGGGUAGACAAUCUUAUCCAGAAUGGAAUUUUGGAUUGUGGAUUCUCUGGACUGAAUGGUUUAAGUUUUUGCCUAGAUUGAUGUCAUCCAUAUUUUACUUAUUUAUACAAUGCUAUGACUACGAUACAAUCAACUAUGACUUGGAAUACUUUUCCCAUAUAGUGUUGGACAAUAUUGUAGGCACCCACCCUCCAAAGCACAAUUGGGUGGUGUUAUUUGAUUAGAUUAACCAUCAACAAUCAUGUUUAUAGACUUCCUGGAGAAACAAACACAUGGGGAGCAUCAUCUAGUACAACACGACAAUGACCACACCAACGAGGUGCAUAUUGUUGUCAAGCACGAACUAACUUUUUCCCCUGGUCAGUUAUUGGAAGGACUAAAAUUGCGGGUCAAGAUGCAUUAACAUGAUAAGGAAUCACACUCAACUCUGAUAAGAAGGCCUACGAAGACAAUUUGAUAUAAUAACUUCAUUGUAUUCUGCUCUGAAGCAAAAACUCUUUAAUGUGGAGUCCAUGUUACAAUGUGUUGUAGUUUACUACCAUUUCUAAAACAGGCCAACCCUUUUAGCAGCCUGCAGCUUGCUUUUAUAUUUUGGAAUUGUUACUCGUUCAUAUAUAUAUUUAUAUUCAUGCUGCUCGGCCUUCCUGAUACUGGGAGCAAUGUAGUUAUUGGUAGAAGUAUGACCUCAGUGGUACAAGCAACGGAGAAAGAAGUUAUGUAUGAACAAAAAAUGAUGCAUAUAUGUAACAAUAUAAUUGAGUUCAUCAAAACCAAUUAAGAAUUAAUGUUUGUU